rnacentral:misc_RNA from 1 species
UAGAUGGCCUUGGUGUUGUCUGUGUUGUCGUCUCCUCAUAUUUUGAUUUUUAGCUGUGGCGUUUACAGAUUUGUGAUUCAAGAUAGCUGGGAAAUUGUUGCAGGAAUAACGAACUGCACAUUUCAGCAGUUUGACAAGCCAGUCACUCGUGCACUAAACCGGUGUCUGCAGUGACCACCGCCUCGACCGUCACCUCUACCGUCACCUCUACCGUUGCCCGCCCUACCAGACAUGGCCGCCGACGCUGAACAGCCGCGCUCGGAGCUGGAGCAGCUUCAGCAAAAGGCCAACCAGGUCACAGAUGAGUCGCUGGAGAGCACUCGGCGCAUGCUGGCACUAUGCGAGGAGAGUCAAGACGUAGGAGCAAAGACGAUGGUUAAUUUGCAAACACAAGGCGAGCAACUGGACAGGAUCGAGGAGGGUAUGGAUCAGAUCAACGCCGACAUGCGCGAGGCCGAGAAAAACCUCACCGGCAUGGAGAAAUGCUGCGGCCUCUGCGUCCUGCCCUGGAAAAAGGGAGGCCAGUUCAAGGAGGACGACGGCACCUGGAAGGGCAAUGACGACGGUAAGGUGGUGAACAGCCAGCCGCAGCGUGUCAUGGACGACAGGAACGGCAUGGGACCCGGCGGCGGGUACAUCGGCAGGAUUACCAACGACGCCCGUGAGGACGAGAUGGAGGGUAACAUGGAACAGGUCAACACCAUGGUGGGCAACCUGCGUAACAUGGCCAUGGAUAUGGGAUCGGAGCUCGAUAACCAGAACCGACAGGUCGAGAGGAUAAGCGCCAAGACCGCCUCCAACGAGGCACAUGUGUCAGAGGCCGCCAACCGCGCCGGAAAACUGUUGAAAUCAGCCUAGACGAGCCACAAAUGCCGAGCCAGUCGAACGAGGCCCGUCUGAAGCUGGCCAACGACCGGGCCAACAGUCUGCUGAAGAACGCCAAGUGACUGCAUCUUUCCCCUGUCCUGCACGGCUGCCUCUGCCGCUCUCAGUCUCUUCUGUGGACCAGCACCACCGCCGUCAUCAACAGGAUCGCACAUCGAAUUCUGCAGCCGCCGGGGGGCCCGCGCGCGCUGUCAGGACCCCGAGCUCGAGAGCCGGGCCGAGAUGGCGGCGGCGGUGAAGAAACGGUCAUCAAAAUCGCAGAUAACGACUUGUUUGUUACAAACUGUAGGCGAAUUCGUCGCGAGUCGGCGUGACUUGUUGCUUCUGCAUCGCGUGUUGUCGCGUCAUUCGUGUUGUGGUGCCGCGUUGAGGCGCUUUGAGCCCGUUUGUAAGCGUUAGGUAGAUGACACCAUAGUUUGUAGCACACACACACACACACACACACACACUUCCACUCAUACACUGAAACGUUCCGCCGUUCAGCGUUGGUCAGAAUCUGUGAUGGGUCGACACGCAAUAGAGAUGGCGCUUUCCCGGUCUCGCCCGCCCCGUCCGCGGGUCGGGCGGGGCUGUCGCUCGGGACGGGCGGUUUCCUCCGGCCCGGUGGCACCGUUUGGUUCGGGCGGCCGCACCGGUCGCCGGCCGCGUCCCGUUUGGUUACCUAUUUUGAUGUAUUCAAGUGAUAAUCAGAGUGUUGGCUGGCGGACUUUGUUGCCUUCUAGCGGGACGGACAAAAGACCAGGCCCGCCAGCGGGCAGUUUCGUUGUUUCCGUAUAGCUGGUAGGCGUUUUUAAUGAGCUAUUUAUUGCGGCGCGCUCGAUUGGCAGGCUGUAGAGUAGUGUUUGCACAUGUCUAUACGGCGUCUCUGUAUAAAGUGUACAUAACCCGCUGGUGAGAUAGGUGGCAUUCCUCUCUGAGGGGGGGGGUCCCCUCGGUCCGCUGGCUGCGACCGAGGUUUGUUGAGGCGAGGCUUUACGGAACUAUACUGUCUGGUUUACAAAUAUAACCGCUAUAACGGA